rnacentral:tRNA from 1 species
GGAAGGAUGUCAGAGCGGCCGAAUGAGCACGCUUGGAAAGUGUGUGUACCUUUGGGUACCGUGGGUUCGAAUCCCACUCCUUCCACCA